GAUGAACGCUGGCGGCGUGCCUAAUACAUGCAAGUCGAGCGAACGGACGCGACGCUUGCUUCUCUGAUGUUAGCGGCGGACGUGUGUGUAACAUGUGUAUCACCUACCUAUCAGUCUGGGAUCACUUCGGGAAUCCGGAUCUAAUCCCGUAUGAUAUUUUGAACCGCAUGGUUCAAUCGUGAAAGACGGUCUUUCUGUCACUUCUCGCUGGUUCUGGGCUGCAUUAGCUAGUUGUUACGGUCACGGCUUACCAAGGCAACGAUGCAUAGCCGACCUGAGAGGGUAAUAGGCGACACGGGAGCGGAGACAGGGACAAGGGGACUAAGGGAGGGAGCAGUAGGGAAUCGUCGGCAAUGGGGGAAAGCAUGGCGGAGCAACGGCGAGUGAGAGAUAAAAGUCUUGGGAUCGUAAAGCUCUGUUAUUAGGGAAGAACAGAUGUGGAAGGAACUGUGCAGAUCGUGACGGUACCGAAUCAGAAAGCAACGGCUAACUACGUG
rnacentral:rRNA from 1 species